rnacentral:rRNA from 1 species
UACGUAGGGUGCGAGCGUUAAUCGGAAUUACUGGGCGUAAAGGGUGCGUAGGCGGGCAGGUAAGUCCGUGGUGAAAUCUCUGAGCUUAACUCAGAAACUGCCAUGGAUACUAUUUGUCUUGAAUAUUGUGGAGGUAAGCGGAAUAUGUCAUGUAGCGGUGAAAUGCUUAGAUAUGACAUAGAACACCAAUUGCGAAGGCAGCUUACUACACAGUUAUUGACGCUGAGGCACGAAAGCGUGGGGAUCAAACAGG